rnacentral:rRNA from 1 species
GACGAACGCUGGCGGCGUGCCUAAUACAUGCAAGUAGAACGCUGAAGGAGGAGCUUGCUUCUCUGGAUGAGUUGCGAACGGGUGAGUAACGCGUAGGUAACCUGCCUGGUAGCGGGGGAUAACUAUUGGAAACGAUAGCUAAUACCGCAUAAUAGUAGAUGUCGCAUGACAUUUGCUUAAAAGGUGCAAUUGCAUCACUACCAGAUGGACCUGCGUUGUAUUAGCUAGUUGGUGGGGUAACGGCUCACCAAGGCGACGAUACAUAGCCGACCUGAGAGGGUGAUCGGCCACACUGGGACUGAGACACGGCCCAGACUCCUACGGGAGGCAGCAGUAGGGAAUCUUCGGCAAUGGACGGAAGUCUGACCGAGCAACGCCGCGUGAGUGAAGAAGGUUUUCGGAUCGUAAAGCUCUGUUGUAAGAGAAGAACGAGUGUGAGAGUGGAAAGUUCACACUGUGACGGUAUCUUACCAGAAAGGGACGGCUAACUACGUG